rnacentral:misc_RNA from 1 species
UUAUGAUAAAACGUCUUAUUUAAUCCUGACUUAAUACAAAAUAAGUAUGUUUCUAAAACGAGGACCAGCUAGUGACCAUAUUUCUGGAACUCCCACUCGCUGUUAUCCAAGGGACAGACUUGUCGGGUCUUCAGCCAUCUGCUGAUGCAGUGGAAGUGGAAUGCAUGAUUACAAACACCCCAAGCGACAGUACACUCCUCGCUGGUGGCGCUCGCCUGAUUAGCCUGGCACUCAAUGCAGAGAUCCAUGAUAUGG